AUUGAACGCUGGCGGCAUGCUUUACACAUGCAAGUCGAACGGUAACAGGCCGCAAGGUGCUGACGAGUGGCGAACGGGUGAGUAAUGCAUCGGAACGUGCCCAGUCGUGGGGGAUAACUACUCGAAAGAGUAGCUAAUACCGCAUACGAUCUAUGGAUGAAAGCGGGGGACCGUAAGGCCUCGCGCGAUUGGAGCGGCCGAUGUCAGAUUAGGUAGUUGGUGGGGUAAAGGCUCACCAAGCCAACGAUCUGUAGCUGGUCUGAGAGGACGACCAGCCACACUGGGACUGAGACACGGCCCAGACUCCUACGGGAGGCAGCAGUGGGGAAUUUUGGACAAUGGGCGCAAGCCUGAUCCAGCAAUGCCGCGUGCAGGAAGAAGGCCUUCGGGUUGUAUACUGCUUUUGUACGGAACGAAACGGCUCUGGUUAAUACCCGGGGCUAAUGACGGUACCGUAAGAAUAAGCACCGGCUAACUAC
rnacentral:rRNA from 1 species